rnacentral:lncRNA from 1 species
AAUACCAAAACUAUGCUUAUAAUAGAGGUUAGCCUACUCAGCCUGCUCAGCUAUCCUAUUACAAUCAGCCAUCAUAUCCACCUUCUCAAUAGAUCAAUCUAGCCGACGAUAGAUUCAACCAACUCCAACAAAUGAUCAUGACCCAACAACAAUCCCUUGCUAGGCUAGAAGCACAAAUAGAUCAAUUAACUGAAUCUACUAUGAGGAGAGAACUAAGUCAAUUGCCAAACAAACUAAUAUUGAAUUUUGAAAACGACCCACCCAUCCACCAACUAUCUAGACCUAGUCAUCAAUCCAAUGUCCCACCUAAGAAUCCUUAAUUUGAAAAUGACAAUACAAUUUUUGAGCUUAAAAGUGAUAGGAUUCUUAAGGACCCAUACCA